AGUUUCAAUAGUUCUCAUUGUAUGAGACUUAUCAGCAGCCUCUCACUUCUGACUGACUCUCUGUCUUGCUUUACAGUUACCCUGACUCUAAUACCACAUUCACUUGAAUUUCUUACCACAUUUCUGGUUGUCCCUCUGGAGCCUUCUUUGCUGGAUGCUCAUCUUUGUGCCGAUCCCUCAGUGCUGCACUCAUUCCCUUCACUCACCAUCUCUCCUUCCAAUUUCUACAGCUAUUUGCCAAUACUUGCAAAUCUCAGCUCAACUCACCACUUUUGAGUUUUAGCUUUGCAACUCCAAAAUCCAUUACCCCUACUCUCAUGGCUCAGUGGUAAAGCAUCUGCCUGCAAUGCAGGAGAUGCAGAAGACUCGGGUUCGAUCCCUGGGUCAGGAAGAUCCCCUGGAGAAGGAUGGCAACCUACUCCAGUAUUCUUGCUUGGGAAAUCCCAUAGACAGGAGAGCCUGGUGGACUACAGUCCAUGGGGUCGCAAAGAGUCAGACACAACUGAGCACGUACAUGUGCAUACUCUCAAAGGCAGUUGGAAACUAAUUAAUAUGUUCCAAAAUGAAUUCAUCCUAUUCUUCCCCAACCUACCCCUUUUUUCAGUAUCUUUUAGGGAAAAGGAUGGGUUGGUUUUAGCAGAAGAGGAAAGAAUGGAAGAGAGAUACAUUAAGGAUACUGUCAUGGAGUUACAUAAAGGUGGAUUGGCCUGCAAAUUAGAGUUCAAGGAAGAGCAGAAGAGCAACUGAUUUUGUUUGAGUUCCUAUUCAACUGAGCUGGUAAAAAUAUUUCUUAAUUUUUAUUGGGGCUUUCCUGCCCGCAACUGCUUCUAUAUAGACCCUUGAGGUAUGCAGUGGGCCGAGAAGAAAGGUUUUAUGAUGCGGUGGCAUUUUCCCUGCUCAGCCUCCUCCAUGGAUGCUUCCUCAUCCCACGUUUAAUGAGGAGGCUGCAGAGAGUCCAUCUGAGAGAUGUGGGUGCUCUGGGAACUUGUGUCUGACCCACACCUGAGGAGUCUUAUGGAUAAGAGGUUUUGCUAUUUUCCUAGUGGUGGAGUGGAGAUGUGGCCACUUUAGGGGCAAGAUGUACUUCCUGGUGUCCUAACCCAGCUCAAGAUUUCAUGCUGGGGUAGAGGAAGGUGUUAUAAGAGACCACCGUGCCAUGUUCCAAGGAUACUGGAACUUCCUCAUAGCAAGGAACGGAAGCCUCAAGCCAACAAUCAUGUUAAUUAAACCAUUUUGAAAGCAGUUUUCAGCCUUAGCCAAGCCUUUGGAUGACUUAUUUCUAGGCCAACUAGACUGACUACAGCCUUCUGAAAUACCCUGAGCCAGAACUGCCUAGCUAAGCUGGUCCUGAAUUCCGGAGCCCAGGAACCAUGUGCCAAAUAAUAUUAACCAAAUAAUAAAUGUUUAUUGCUUGAA